CCUACGGGUGGCAGCAGUGGGGAAUAUUGGGCAAUGGGCGCAAGCCUGACGCAGCAACGCCGCGUGAAGGAAGAAGGCUUUCGGGUUGUAAACUUCUUUUGACAGGGAAGAGCAGAAGACGGUACCUGGCGAAUAAGCCACGGCUAACUACGUGCCAGCAGCCGCGGUAAUUCGUAGGUGGCAACCGUGGUCCGGAUUUACUGGGUGUAAAGGGCGUGUAGCCGGGCUGACAAGGCAGUGGUGAAAUCCGGGGGCUUAACCCGCGAGCUGCAUUUGAAACUGUUGGUCUUGAGUAACGGAGAGGCAGGCGGAAUUCCUAGUGUAGCGGUGAAAUGCGUAGAUAUUAGGAGGAACACCAGUGGCGAAGGCGGCCUGCUGGACGACAACUGACGGUGAGGCGCGAAAGCGUGGGGAGCAAACAGGAUUAGAUACCCUUGUAGUC
rnacentral:rRNA from 1 species